rnacentral:rRNA from 1 species
AUUGAACGCUGGCGGCAUGCCUUACACAUGCAAGUCGAACGGCAGCACGGGAGCAAUCCUGGUGGCGAGUGGCGAACGGGUGAGUAAUAUAUCGGAACGUGCCCAGUCGUGGGGGAUAACGUAGCGAAAGCUACGCUAAUACCGCAUACGAUCUAUGGAUGAAAGCGGGGGAUCGCAAGACCUCGCGCGAUUGGAGCGGCCGAUAUCAGAUUAGGUAGUUGGUGAGGUAAAGGCUCACCAAGCCGACGAUCUGUAGCUGGUCUGAGAGGACGACAGCCACACUGGGACUGAGACACGGCCCAGACUCCUACGGGAGGCAGCAGGUGGGGUAAUUUUGGACAAGUGGGCG